GCCCAGACUCCUACGGGAGGCAGCAGUGAGGAAUAUUGGUCAAUGGGCGUAAGCCUGAACCAGCCAAGUCGCGUGAGGGAUGAAGGAUCUAUGGUUCGUAAACCUCUUUUAUAAGGGAAUAAAGUGCGGGACGUGUCCUGUUUUGUAUGUGCCUUAUGAAUAAGGAUCGGCUAACUCCGUGCCAGCAGCCGCGGUAAUACGGAGGAUCCGAGCGUUAUCCGGAUUUAUUGGGUUUAAAGGGUGCGUAGGCGGCCCUUUAAGUCAGCGGUGAAAGUCUGUGGCUCAACCAUAGAAUUGCCGUUGAAACUGGGGGGCUUGAGUAUGUUUGAGGCAGGCGGAAUGCGUGGUGUAGCGGUGAAAUGCAUAGAUAUCACGCAGAACUCCGAUUGCGAAGGCAGCGUACCGGCGCCCAACUGACGCUGAAGCACGAAGGCGUGGGUAUCGAACAGGAUUAGAUACCCCUGUA
rnacentral:rRNA from 1 species